CGGUGAGUAAUGUAUGGGGAUCUGCCUGAUGGCGGGGGAUAACUACUGGAAACGGUAGCUAAUACCGCAUAAUGUCUGCGGACCAAAGCGGGGGACCUCCGGGCCUCGCGCCAUCAGAUGAACCCAUAUGGGAUUAGCUUGUAGGUAAGGUAACGGCUUACCUAGGCGACGAUCCCUAGCUGGUCUGAGAGGAUGAUCAGCCACACUGGGACUGAGACACGGCCCAG
rnacentral:rRNA from 1 species